rnacentral:rRNA from 1 species
UACGUAGGGUGCAAGCGUUGUCCGGAAUUACUGGGCGUAAAGCGUGCGUAGACGGUUACAUAAGUCGGGUGUGAAAGCCCCGGGCUCAACCUGGGAAUUGCAUUCGAGACUGCGUAGCUAGGGUGCGGAAGAGGGAAGCGGAAUUCCGGUGUAGCGGUGAAAUGCGUAGAUAUCGGAAGGAACACCAGUGGCGAAAGCGGCUUCCUGGUCCAGCACCGACGUUCAGGCACGAAAGCGUGGGGAGCAAAC